GGUUCGAUGGUGUAGUUGGUUAUCACUUCUGUCUAACAUUUGAUGGGAAAUUCCCACGGUCAAUGUGAUCACAGGCGGUCCUCGGUUCGAACCCGGGUCGAAUCA